rnacentral:rRNA from 1 species
GAUGAACGCUGGCGGCGUGCUUAACACAUGCAAGUCGAACGAACCUUUCGGGGUUAGUGGCGGACGGGUGAGUAACGCGUGAGGAUCUGCCCUUAGGCGGGGGACAACUUUUGGAAACGGAAGCUAAUACCCCAUAUGGCGAGAGCUGAAAGCUUAAUGUGCCUGAGGAUGAGCUCGCGUCUGAUUAGCUAGUUGGUGAGGUAAGGGCUUACCAAGGCGACGAUCAGUAGCUGUUCUGAGAGGAAGAUCAGCCACACUGGGACUGAGACACGGCCCAGACUCCUACGGGAGGCAGCAGUGGGGAAUUUUCCGCAAUGGGCGCAAGCCUGACGGAGCAACGCCGCGUGAGGGAGGAAUGUCUGUGGAUUGUAAACCUCUUUUCUCUGUGAAGAAGCACUGACGGUAGCAGAGGAAUCAGCAUCGGCUAACUCCGUGCCAGCAGCCGCGGUAAG